rnacentral:rRNA from 1 species
GUCGAGCGGCGGACGGGUGAGUAAUGCCUAGGAAAUUGCCCUGAUGUGGGGGAUAACCAUUGGAAACGAUGGCUAAUACCGCAUAAUGCCUACGGGCCAAAGAGGGGGACCUUCGGGCCUCUCGCGUCAGGAUAUGCCUAGGUGGGAUUAGCUAGUUGGUGAGGUAAUGGCUCACCAAGGCGACGAUCCCUAGCUGGUCUGAGAGGAUGAUCAGCCACACUGGAACUGAGACACGGUCCAGACUCCUACGGGAGGCAGCAGUGGGGAAUAUUGCACAAUGGGCGCAAGCCUGAUGCAGCCAUGCCGCGUGUGUGAAGAAGGCCUUCGGGUUGUAAAGCACUUUCAGUCGUGAGGAAGGUGGUAGUGUUAAUAGCACUAUCAUUUGACGUUAGCGACAGAAGAAGCACCGGCUAACUCCGUGCCAGCAGCCGCGGUAAUACGGAGGGUGCGAGCGUUAAUCGGAAUUACUGGGCGUAAAGCGCAUGCAGGUGGUUUGUUAAGUCAGAUGUGAAAGCCCGGGGCUCAACCUCGGAAUAGCAUUUGAAACUGGCAGACUAGAGUACUGUAGAGGGGGGUAGAAUUUCAGGUGUAGCGGUGAAAUGCGUAGAGAUCUGAAGGAAUACCGGUGGCGAAGGCGGCCCCCUGGACAGAUACUGACACUCAGAUGCGAAAGCGUGGGGAGCAAACAGGAUUAGAUACCCUGGUAGUCCACGCCGUAAACGAUGUCUACUUGGAGGUUGUGGCCUUGAGCCGUGGCUUUCGGAGCUAACGCGUUAAGUAGACCGCCUGGGGAGUACGGUCGCAAGAUUAAAACUCAAAUGAAUUGACGGGGGCCCGCACAAGCGGUGGAGCAUGUGGUUUAAUUCGAUGCAACGCGAAGAACCUUACCUACUCUUGACAUCCAGAGAACUUUCCAGAGAUGGAUUGGUGCCUUCGGGAACUCUGAGACAGGUGCUGCAUGGCUGUCGUCAGCUCGUGUUGUGAAAUGUUGGGUUAAGUCCCGCAACGAGCGCAACCCUUAUCCUUGUUUGCCAGCGAGUAAUGUCGGGAACUCCAGGGAGACUGCCGGUGAUAAACCGGAGGAAGGUGGGGACGACGUCAAGUCAUCAUGGCCCUUACGAGUAGGGCUACACACGUGCUACAAUGGCGCAUACAGAGGGCAGCAAGCUAGCGAUAGUGAGCGAAUCCCAAAAAGUGCGUCGUAGUCCGGAUUGGAGUCUGCAACUCGACUCCAUGAAGUCGGAAUCGCUAGUAAUCGUGGAUCAGAAUGCCACGGUGAAUACGUUCCCGGGCCUUGUACACACCGCCCGUCACACCAUGGGAGUGGGCUGCAAAAGAAGUAGGUAGUUUAAC